CCUACGGGUGGCAGCAGUGGGGAAUAUUGCACAAUGGGGGGAACCCUGAUGCAGCGACGCCGCGUGAGUGAAGAAGUCUUUCGGUAUGUAAAGCUCUAUCAGCAGGAACGAGACAAGACGGUACCUGACCAAGAAGCCACGGCUAACCACGUGCCAGCAGCCGCGGUAAUACGUAGGGGGCAAGCGUUAUCCGGAAUCACUGGGUGUAAAGGGAGCGUAGACGGCUGAGCAAGCCUGAAGUGAACGGCGGGGGCCCAACCCCCGGACUGCUUUUGGAACUGUACGGCUAGAGUGCAGGAGAGGUAAGUGGAAUUCCUGGUGGAGCGGUGAAAUGCGUAGAGAUUAGGAGGAACACCAGUGGCGAAGGCGGCUUACUGGACUGUAACUGACGUUGAGGCUCGAAAGCGUGGGGAGCAAACAGGAUUAGAUACCCGAGUAGUC
rnacentral:rRNA from 1 species